rnacentral:rRNA from 1 species
GACGAACGCUGGCGGCGUGCCUAAUACAUGCAAGUAGAACGCUGAAGGAGGAGCUUGCUUCUCCGGAUGAGUUGCGAACGGGUGAGUAACGCGUAGGUAACCUGCCUGGUAGCGGGGGAUAACUAUUGGAAACGAUAGCUAAUACCGCAUAACAGUAGAUGUUGCAUGACAUUUGCUUAAAAGGUGCAAUUGCAUCACUACCAGAUGGACCUGCGUUGUAUUAGCUAGUUGGUGAGGUAACGGCUCACCAAGGCGACGAUACAUAGCCGACCUGAGAGGGUGAUCGGCCACACUGGGACUGAGACACGGCCCAGACUCCUACGGGAGGCAGCAGUAGGGAAUCUUCGGCAAUGGACGGAAGUCUGACCGAGCAACGCCGCGUGAGUGAAGAAGGUUUUCGGAUCGUAAAGCUCUGUUGUAAGAGAAGAACGAGUGUGAGAGUGGAAAGUUCACUGUGACGGUAUCUUACCAGAAAGGGACGGCUAACUACGUG